rnacentral:rRNA from 1 species
CCGGGCGGCAGAUGGCGGCGGGGAAACACCCGGCUCCAUUCCGAACCCGGCAGUUAAGCCCGCCAGCGCCAAUGGUACUGGGGCAAAAGCCCCGGGAGAGUAGGUCGCCGCCCGGA